UGAUUGGGAUAUUUAGGGUAAUGAAUUUUAGACGUAAAUUCAGAAUCUUCAGCUGAGCUACAACCCCCCUCCACCUCUAUCUCCUCCUUCGCGCUUGCAGACUCCACCUGGCUUAUCUCCUCUGGGCUCCACCACCAGCGUCUGGAUCCCGGGGGAACACUUCACUAAUCCUAAAAUCAACAUCCAAGCUCAUAGACAUUCGCAACUUUCACGUCUUCUGCCGGGAUCCGAGCGCCAAAGAACUUUCUGAUUCAUGUCAAUAAAUCUUUCUAAUUGCCCCUUCUGUCUGUGUGAGUCUGUCUAGGUUGAAUUGCUACCGCAUCUCACCCAGGAUUCAAGUCAACUCUUUCUUAUUGCUGAAUUAUGAACACUGACCGUAACUGAGAGCUUGUCUUGGGAGCCUCUUGAGGAGCCAGGUCAGAGUUGAACGCAGAAUUUUAUGAUGUACAGAAAGGCACACAGCUGCCAUGUCGUGAAAAAGCUGGUAGCACCCCUGCAGAGGGCCUGAGGAGAAAAGGCGAAGUGUCCCAUGGUAACUGGAGGAGCUGCAGAAAUCUACAGCAAUGCACAGCAGAGUUGUCAAGAAGGAUGCUUUGGUCAGACGUGACCAGGUGAGCUGGCCAGAGUUGAUGGGGAGUCGGAUGGAGCUACAUACAAUCCUGGAAGAACACUGACGAGGCUGCACAAGACUGAGCUGGAGCUUCACCUAAUAGCAAGGCAACAGCCUUUGUCCAGCAAGAGCUGCAAUCAAAGGAUAUGGGCUGUCAAACUCCAGUUCUCAAGGGCCUAUAUCCUGAAACGUUAAGAUCUGUCCCUGGUGCAGCACACCUGGAUCAUAAUGCUGGCUUACCUCCUCACCAUGCAGUCUAUACAGAGACCUGCCAUUGACCCAUUUAUUUUAUUCUGGUGUCUUAAAGAGACACAUCUAAAGGUUGCAAGACAAUGGCCCUCAAGGAAUGAAGUUUGUCAUCUGAGAUUUAGACCAAAGCAUACUCAGGUCAAAAUGUACACCUAAAUCUAAUUGAGAAUCUGUCGCCAAACUUGAAAAUUGCUGUUCAUAGAUAUUCUCCAACCAGCCUGAUUAAGUUUGAGCUGGUCAUCCAGAGACGGAUUGGUGGAAACUUCCGUCUCUAAGCGUGCAAAGCUGUGAAAGCCAACUACCUAAAGGAUUUGCAACGGUGAGACUAUAAAUUUUUGACUGAUGGGUGCUAAAUAUAAACACACGCCACACUUUUUAGUUUCUUUUUGUGCAAAGAUCAA